AAUAGUUUUAUGCCACAUCAUUACUCUUAUCUUGAAUUUCAGGAUUUUAUCCUGAAAAAAAUCAAAUCCAAAUUAAAAUACUGGAAUUUAGGAUAAGAAUACUGAUGUGGCAUAAAAUUAUU
rnacentral:pre_miRNA from 1 species